AAGAGAAGAGAGCCAUGGGGAGCUUAUUUGCUCACGAGUCGGCUGAGAACGUUCCUGCGACGCCCUACAUCUCCUACACUGGGACCUCUCUGUAGGACGGAAGCCUAUUAAAACUUGUUGUCGAGAACGUCCCCCUGUUUCACGUUGUCGAAGGAAUGGAAGGAGUCAGCAGCAUUUUGGCGGCAUACUGGAUCUUCAAUGCUUCCUACUGCGCACAACACAUGAAAACGCUAAGUUUUUUGAACAUGCAAUUGGACUACGAGCAACCAUACUCCGGGUGGCUGUAGCGUCUCUUCUGAAAAAAUACAGGGCACUGAGUUAAGUGACAAAGUGUUGACCACCAACAUAUUUAAAGUUUGUUACUGUUAAACUUCCCAGCUCAUAGCUCAUUCAAGUUUUCUAGUCAUUAUACAUCCACAUGUAUUUUUCAUUAUGUUUAAUAAAAGGAGAACUUUUAUAAAUGA